AUUGAACGCUGGCGGCAGGCCUAACACAUGCAAGUCGAACGAGUGGCGGACGGGUGAGUAAUCUAUGGGAAAGUGCCUGAUGGGGGGGGAUAACUAAUGGAAACAGUAGCUACUACCGCAUACCAUUCGAGGGGCCCAGAUCGGAUUAGCUAGUUGGUGGGGUAACGGCUCACCAAGGGGACGAUCUCUAGCUGGUCUGAGCGGAUGACUCGCCACCCGGAAAAGGAGACACGGCCCGGACUCCUACGGGAGGCAGCAUUGGGGAAUAUUGCACAAUGGGGGCAAGCCUGAUGCAGCCAUGCCGCGUGUAUGAAGAAGGCCUUCGGGUUGUAAAGUACUUUCGGCGGGGAAGCGUUACCCGCAGAAGAAGCACCGGCUAACUACGUGCCAGCAGCCGCGGUAAUAC
rnacentral:rRNA from 1 species